rnacentral:rRNA from 1 species
AACGAACGCUGGCGGCAUGCCUAACACAUGCAAGUCGAACGAAGCCUUCGGGCUUAGUGGCGCACGGGUGCGUAACACGUGGGAAUCUGCCCUUCGGUUCGGAAUAACAGUUAGAAAUGACUGCUAAUACCGGAUGAUGACGAAAGUCCAAAGAUUUAUCGCCGAAGGAUGAGCCCGCGUAGGAUUAGGUAGUUGGUAGGGUAAUGGCCUACCAAGCCGACGAUCCUUAGCUGGUCUGAGAGGAUGAUCAGCCACACUGGGACUGAGACACGGCCCAGACUCCUACGGGAGGCAGCAGUGGGGAAUAUUGGACAAUGGGCGAAAGCCUGAUCCAGCAAUGCCGCGUGAGUGAUGAAGGCCUUAGGGUUGUAAAGCUCUUUUACCAGGGAUGAUAAUGACAGUACCUGGAGAAUAAGCUCCGGCUAACUUCGUG